AUACGGAGGGUCCAAGCGUUAUCCGGAAUCAUUGGGCGUAAAGCGCGCGCAGGCGGUCUUUUAAGUUGGAUGUGAAAGCCUACGGCUCAACCGUAGAACUGCAUCCAAAACUAUUAGACUAGAGUGUGGGAGAGGAAGAUGGAAUUAGUUGUGUAGGGGUAAAAUCCGUAGAGAUAACUAGGAAUACCAAAAGCGAAGGCAAUCUUCUGGAACACUACUGACGCUGAGGCGCGAAAGCGUGGGGAGCAAACAGGAUUAGAAACCCUAGUAGUCC
rnacentral:rRNA from 1 species